UCCGUAGGUGAACCUGCGGAAGGAUCAUUAACGAAUUUAUUGGAGUUGUGCUGGUUCUUACAAGUGCACGCUCCUUCAAUUCCAUUCACACCCAAUGUGCACUCUAAGAGACGUAUCUCCCCCGUUUACGUGCCUUCAAUGGCUUGGGAUUUCGUCUGUUUAACACACACUUUUUUGUAAUAGAAUGUCAUUUGGCUUAAAUGCCUAAAACUUUUAAAAUAACUUUCAACAACGGAUCUCUUGGUUCUCGCAUCGAUGAAGAACGCAGCGAAAUGCGAUAAGUAAUGUGAAUUGCAGAAUUCAGUGAAUCAUCGAAUCUUUGAACGCACCUUGCACUCCUUGGUAUUCCGAGGAGUAUGCCUGUUCGAGUAUCAUGAAACUCUCAAACCUCAUCUUCAUUGAUGACGGGCUUGGAUUUGGACGCUUGCUGGACUUUACUGUUCGGCUCGUCUUGAAUGCAUUAGCUGACGAUUUCGACUUCAGUUAAACCGUGUGAUAAUACAUCAACGCGGGCAGCCGUCAAGGCGCUGAGUUGUUAGACGAAGGCUUCUAACCGGUCCUUUCGGAGGGGGACCGGCCUUAACUGGGGGUGGUUUCAUUUCAAAUUUGGGUCUCGGAAUCAGGGGUAGGGGACUACCCGGCUGGAACUUAAGG
rnacentral:rRNA from 1 species